AGAGCAAAGCCAGGAGCGGGCAAGGUGGGCUGGUGCUCCGGAAACCAGAACUGAACCGAUAGCAAAUCACAAUUUGAAAAAAAAGAUUAUUGAAGAAUCUGUACUUCAAUGGUUAAAAUCUGAACCUACGCCUAGACAGUUAUUCGUUAAACUUCAAGAAGAGGUCAUCCAUCCCUCAGGCCAUCACUCAUUUAGCUCACGUGACUUUGCAGAAGAUUGCUGAUUCUGUGCUCGAGCCCUGGUAAACGAAGGAAUUACAGCAUUAAAGAAUCCUUGGUGCAGUUCCGAUCGCAUACAAAUAUAUAUAUAUAUAUAUAUAUAUAUAUAUAUAUAUAUAUAUAUAUAUAUAUAUAUAUAUAUAUAUGUUGGCUCAGAUGAGAAUAUUAAUACACUCAAAGGCAAUGUCACCACUUAAAACAAGCGAUGCAAGUCGAGGAUGAAGAUGUGACAGGGAUGUUCCAGCUUGAGUACCUUCCUGGCAUGUGCAUCCCGAGCUCCUGGGCUCAGCAUCCUGUCUCCAGGUCCUGAGCUCAGUGCAUGGAAACUGGUCAUGCAGGUUCGUUCCCAAUACCUGCCCCAGUAUGAAGCCGCCACGUUUCUGGCCCUGAGGAGAAGUUCUCUUUCCUUGCAGCAAGAUAAUGUUUUAAAAAGCUGACUUUUAAACCUCUUGCUGAAUUUUUUAAUGGAUUAAAUUCAUCAUGUCACCAGCUGCUGUGCCGCUAAUAGAGCCAUAAAACACUGUAUUAAAG
rnacentral:lncRNA from 1 species